AUUAAAUGGCGGAAAUGCAUAGGAGAGAUAAAGAAGAGGAUGAGAAAGACUUAAACGAUGACUUUCAACAAAAGAAUGACUACGGAGAUUACAAUGGCAAACAAAGGAAUAUGAGGAACAAUAAUCUGUGCCGAAAAGCGCCGUUCUCUCAGUGACAGCCCAUUGCUGAUGGCAGCAGCAGGGCACAUCUAUGCCUUGGGUAACACUCCUGCUGGGGACACGGGGCCCACCACAGGAGGGAAGCUGAAGCACCCACAAAUCCUCCACUUUGAAGGAACUGGACAACCACUUACUGCCUUUGGAAAACCAGAGAAGCGGGAAGUGGAACGACUUCUGCGGGCUGGUGGAAGAUAAAGGGAAGGUUUUUCUGCAGGAAUGUGUUCUUCAGUGACAGAAUGGACCAAAAGUCAUCUGUGCAGCCCUCAGAGUUGUCUGUCCGUCCUUG
rnacentral:lncRNA from 1 species